CCACGCCACGAGCCAGUGUCCUCUGGUGUGUUGUGGGGUGACGUAAAUUCGUGUCGGAUUCUUCACCAUCUCUAAGACUUAUUUACGAUCAAGGUGAAACUGGACUACCGGAGCGACACAAGAUGCCUGUUGGGACAAAGCGGUGUGAGUAGAGAUGAUGGUGGCGGUAUUUGGCAAUGCAACAAUGUAGGCCCUGCCGCCCUGCCGACGCCUGGCCCGGUUAUGGAGGCCACCACGGGUUCCUUCAUCUCAAACUACCAUGUCUAUGGAAUGUAACUGUAACACUGAUGAGAAGAGGAAGAAUAGAAGGAGGAGCAAGAGGAGGAGAAGGAGGAGGAGAAAAGGAAGAAAAAAAGAUGAACAUUAAAACCAACCAAUAACAACAACAACAGGAA
rnacentral:lncRNA from 1 species